ACACCCACAGGGAAAGCACCAUGAGAAGAUGAUGGCAGAGAUCUGGGCGACGCGUCUACAAGCCAAGCGACACCAAAGGUGGCCAGCAGCCCAUGUGAAGCUGGAGGAGAGGCCUCGAAUAAAUGCUCCCUCACAGCGUUCAGGGGGAACUGACCCUGUCCAUACCUUGACCUUGAACUUCUGGGCUCCAGAACUGUGAGACAGCACAUUUCUGUUGUUGAAGGAGCAGCGUGGCUAGAGGAAUUCCUGCAGCUUAGAUUUCGCUGGCGCUGUUACCACUCCCAGAGAGGAGCGGCUGGAGUUCACGGCUGGUUCCUGACAAACUUCCUAAUUAAUGUGCUAAAGAUCAGAGGAGGACUAAUAGGAGCUGAAGACUGUGUGCGAGACCACCCCUCUGCCCUCUCCCUUUGUGUGUGCACGUGUGUGUGUGUGUGUGUGAGCGCGUGCGCGCAUGUGGUGCUGAGCUUGGCAGGAGAGAGAUGGCCUCACUAGCGACAAAGCAUUCCUGCUGCUGUUGCUGCCACCUACCUUCCCUGCUUUGGGAGGAUACAUUUUCUCCUCUUGCUUAGAAGUUUAAGGGAGUCACCCAAGCCUUCUUCUCCCAGAUACAACAGUGGAAUAAAAUAUCUUCCAACCAACUUUUUUUUUUUGAGACGGAAUCUCACUCUGUCAUCUGGUUGAAGUGCAGCAGCGCGAUCAUGGCUCACUGCAACCUCUGCCUCCCAGUUUCAAGUGAUUCUCCUGCCUCAGCCUCCCGAGAAGCUGGGAUUACAGGCAUGUGCCACCCACCAUGCCUGGGUAAUUUCUGUAUUUUUACUAGAGACAGGGUUUCACUAUGUGGGCCGGGCUGGUCUCAAACUCCUGACCUCUGGUGAUCUGCCCACUUCGGCCUCUCAAAGUGCUGGGAUUACAGGCAUGAGCCCCCGCGCCCGGCUGCAACCAACUUUUUUGUGGAAUACAGGAUCUUGAUGUUUGGAUGCCUGAAGGCAGAAGCUGUUGCACAUGGAAUGGAUUAAAGUUUUCCCCUCUGCAACCAAAAAUCCUUGGGGUCCCAGGAGCAAAAGAUGCUCCAGGGCACAGGACAAUUCAAGAAGGCCCGAGGUGAUAUUGAAGGCUGCAGAGACAUCCAGCUCGGUUGUGUCUCCGGAGGUGUCCAGACUUUGCAGACAGACGUUGCACAUAAAGAGCUGAAAAACUGAGGAAGCUGAGCUGGAGAAGGAAAUCACUUCUACUCAGCCUUGACCUGCGUCUGAUGCUAUGGGGCCUCUUAGGGUUACCUCAUGCUUCAUGCACCCCUUUCUCUGUUCUUCAGCAGAAGGCAGGGUGUAGGGAAGCGGGUCUGUGCCUCCUUUCUCCCUGCCAGGCCUGACUCUCCAGGCCCGAGACACCAUUAAGGAGUAUAAUUUGUUGAUCCAGGCUCUCCUUGCGUUUCAGCGCAGAGUGGCAUCGUUUUCUUUAUGACCUCGUAAAGUCACAGCCGAGAGGCCGAUUUGGAAAACAAACUGCCUCAGGUUGACAGAUAAUUAGAUACAGGGGACAUAUUAUAUGCCUUUGCAUAUAAAUGUGCUCCGAGGCGUGUUGGUUCAUCUGAAGUUGAGGUUAAAGGCGCGCCAGGUAUUCCUGACACAUCAGGAUAUAUAUUUUCACACAGUCUCAGGCGCUGUGUUGGUUUUAUAGGCCUUUCAUCCUGGUGCUGACGGAUGGGGUGUGAUUGUGACCCAACUUAGAAGAAAGGGACUUCCCUUGCCCAGGGGCCUCCUGGCGUUUUUGUUUUGUGUUCUCCCUCUCCACCCCCACUUUCUCUUCUUCCUUGGGAAGGGAACUGUUCUUUGGGCCUAGGAUUCUGCCGUGAGUGACUAAUGGCCCGAGUAGGAGGGGCCGGGACUCAUUUUUCUUUUCUGGACUCUAAUAGGCCCAAUUAAUUCAGCUACAACAUGGGCCCUUACAAGCCUGGGACAAGCCUGGGUGGAAUUCUAUAUUGAGGGUAAGAAAAGGGAUGGAAGUAGAUAUUUUCCAGAAGGUUCUGUGGACUCUGGGGGUGACCUGUGGACAGCUGCUGCUGCCCACUACCUGGCAGUUUGGCUAUGUGAUACAUGUCAGCCUUACAAGGAGAUCCCCCUUACCCUGGAAUCUACUUUGGGGGAGCAGAACUUGAGCCUCAGGCAAAUCAGAAACGAGGGGGAAACUUUGCUUUUUCCUCCAGUGGCAGGGAGCUCUGGGCUGGGGAAAUGUCUUUUUGAAUACAAAGUUCCAGUUGCAUUCAUCCACAGGAAAAUGUAAAGAGCUUAAUUUAAUGCCCUCUGGGAGUCAUUUCGAUUUAAAAGUGGCAUUAUAGCUUGUGGCUAGAAGAAUGGGCUUAACGGUUAGUCACCUUCUGUUUGGGCAUGUCAUUUAAUCUCUUCGAGGCUGUUUCUUCAUCUUAAAAUAUGAGUGAGAAGGUAGUACCCACCUUACAAUAUGGACAAGAUUAAUUUAGGGAAAGCACGUAGCACAGGGCUUCACCCAUGGUAAGUAUUUCAUAAACGGUAACUAUUUUUAACAAUGACAAUUCACAGAGUUAAUCCUAAUAAAAAAUGAUUACAGAAGAGGACGCCUCCACCCACAGGAAGGAGCCAGCACGGUGGGGAGCUGUUUGACCAGGGGAGUGUUCUCAGCAGCUGCCACACUUGGAGUUGUGGAGCUUAGUGUCCUCAUCCGUAAAAUGAGGGGCUCUCUGAGAGUCUGCCAGGGCUGCUGUCUGAUCCCUGACGGCGUGGCAUGUGGUGUGCAGGAUCUUGGCAGUGGACUGCCACGGGAGCUCUGGGGAAAAAGGACCAGUUGGACUCCAGUACCUCCUGAGAGACCACCACCCUCCACGCCUCCAGCUCAUGCCCAGCUCUGAGUCAAACGGACUCUUCCUGUUGUACUGCGAGGUUCUGCAAACCUUAAAGGGCAAACACAGUGAGGGUCUCUGACUUGCUGUGUGGACAGCCCACUCUCUGACAGCCCAGAUCAUCUGAAGCUAUCCCUGGGCUGGGAGCUGGAAGCCAUUCUUGUGAACCACUCCUUAUACCUUGAGCUAAGCCUCUUUGGGUCCCAGAAGUCUGAAGCUCCAGCUGCCUGGCAAGACUGUGUCUAGAUGAUUUCUUGAGUACCAGUAGUUUGGCAUUUAAAAAUACUGGAUUAACUGCAGUGUAAACUUAGAUUGCAUUUCAGAUUGUAAACAAUAACCCCCGUGCUUCAUGUGAUGUUAAAUCAGAAAUGAGCUAUUAGCCAAGCUAGUCCUCUUAUGAGUGAGCCCCUAACCCUGAUCCAGGGAUCGUUGAACGAAAAUCAUCAAAAUGAUUUAUCUUCACUUUACCUAUUAUCUCACAAGAAUCUCAUUACUCAGGGAAAAGGAGGGUGUUCUUCAGGGAACGGAGGGCAUGAGGAAGGGGGACUUCCUUAUAACUCAACUUUCAGAGGGAGCUGAGUUGUAAACAGAUGGAACAAGGUGUGUACGAGAAGCCUCUUAGAUUUAGUCUUUCAUAUCAAGGCUCUUGCUGAAAAUCCUGGCACAGCUGUGAAAUGAGGGAAGCUCUGACACACAGAGACACCCUCCUUGCCUCACCAACCUUCCCAUACACAGUCAUGCGCACAGAAAGCAGGUACCAAUACUGAAAAUGCCCUUCCGGAGUUUCCUCAGCUUAAACCCUUGACAGCUUAGAAACAGCAUUAAGUGAGGAAGGAGUUUCCUUGACCUGGGGAAGAAGAACCAACUCAUAAACAUGGAACUGUGCCCACUGCCUUUUCCUUUGCUCUGUGGAUUGGCUGUGGUUCUGCCCUGGCACUCGGAUGUCAAGUUGCUCUGGCUGUUUGGGAGGAAGCCCAGCCUGGGUCAGGUGGUCAUAAGCCAGAGCCCCUGUCCUGUCCCCAGGGUUGGCCUCCCUCUGGGGUCCAGCAUGGCCCCAGUGCUGAGGCUCCCACUGCUGGAGAAUGUGCCCUCUCCUCUCUUUGUUUCCAUACCAAAGGGAUCUGCAGGGUAGAGGGCAAAUUAUUCUUAGCAGACUGGGGCUAUGGGUAAACCAGAAGGGAUGAGGGAGAGAGGAGAGAGGAGAGGAAAGGGAAGGAGAGGGGAGGGCAGGGGAUAGGUAGAGGAGAGAGACAGCAAGAAAAAAUAGAAAAAAAAAAAAGGAAAUAAAGGUUGCAAAUACAAAGGGAGAUUAACAAGGAGUAGAAGAAGGGAGGCAGAAGAGGGAGAAACAGAGAAGAGGAACAAAGAAGACAUUUCCAAAAAAGACGUGAGCACACCAGGCAGGAGGGAGAAAAGGAACAAGGAGAAAGGAAGGAAGUGAGACAAGCUGGGGAGAGAAGAGGCAAAGGCAGCCAGGAGCAGGCACAGGGGAGAGAGGAGUGGGAAACCCCAGGGGGUACAAGGAAAAAAAUGAGGGAAGCCAGUGGGAGGAAGGUGAGGAAGAGGAGAGGGAACAGGCACUGGGUGGGGAAGAGGCGAGCGGGAGAAAGCCUGUGCUGUGUGGAUUAUUGUGUGUUUGUCAUCUGGAAUGGUAUAAGCUGUAGGUACAGCAACUCCCGCCCAUGAUUUAUGGUCCCUGUCAGGCAGGGACCGCGCUUUGUCUGCUGUAGCGUGGACGAUGAAUGCUCCGCUGUCAUCCCAGCCUGGCCGGCCUUUCUCUCUCUCUGCUCCCAACGCUGGCUCCCCAUUUCACGCCAGUGAACAUAAACAAUCUUUUGUAAACCUGACAGUCACACUUGCUUCUUUGGAAACAUAAAGCAGAAAUGUAUGACUCGGCUUUCAUUACCCAAUUUCCUACGCUAUAUAAAAACACUCAGGAAAGACAUGUAAGUGGUCACGAAACCUGGGAAAUUGGAAGUGUCCUGGAGGAAAAAAAAAGGAAGAGGGGGGAGAAGGGGGCUGUAGGGUGGGAGGGAGCCGGUGAGGAGAGGAGACGAUGUGUCUAACUCCACCACAUCCUUCCCAGAAAACGCCGGCUGAUAAACGGGCCAUGCAGACACAUAAUUAUAUUACAUUUCUGAAUAAUAGA